UACGUAGGGUGCAAGCGUUAAUCGGAAUUACUGGGCGUAAAGCGUGCGCAGGCGGUUAUGCAAGUCAGAUGUGAAAUCCCCGGGCUCAACCUGGGAACUGCAUUUGUGGCUGCAUAGCUAGAGUAAGGUAGGGGUAGAGGGAAUUCCUGGUGUAGCGGUGAAAUGCGUAGAGAUCAGGAAGAACACCGGUGGAGAAAGCGCUCUGCUGGACCUUAACUGACACUGAGGGACGAAAGCUAGGGGAGCGAAUGGG
rnacentral:rRNA from 1 species